AAACCAUGAUUUGGGCUCUUGUAAAUACUCCUUAAAUCUCUCCCGAGGCUUCAUAUAGUUGUUCCCCGAUUGUUGCUUAAAUUCAUAGAUCUUGUCACUAAUUUC